rnacentral:rRNA from 1 species
GCGAAAACUUUACAAUGCUGGCAACAGCGAUAAGGGAACCUCGAGUGCCAGGUUACAAAUCUGGCUGUCGAGAUGCCUAAAAAGCAUUUCAUAGCAAGGGCCGGGCAAGACCGGUGCCAGCCGCCGCGGUAACACCGGCGGCUCGAGUGGUAACCGUUAUUAUUGGGUCUAAGGGGUCUGUAGCCGCCCGGAUAAGUCUCUUGAGAAAUCUGGCAGCUUAACUGUCAGGCUUUCAGGAGAUACUGUCUGGCUCGAGGCCGGGAGAGGUGAGAGGUACUUCAGGGGUAGGGGUGAGAUCUUGUAAUCCUUGAAGGACCACCAGUGGCGAAGGCGUCUCACCAGAACGGACCUGACGGCAAGGGACGAAAGCUAGGGGCACGAACC